GCCUGGGUGGCUCAGUUGGUUGAGCGUCUGACUUUGGCUCAGGUCAUGAUCUCACGGUCUGUGGGUUCAAGCCCCACGUUGGGCU
rnacentral:tRNA from 1 species